rnacentral:lncRNA from 1 species
UAAGAUUACUCUCUUCCUGAAGGAGGAUCAACUUGAGUAUCUUGAGGAGCGCCGUCUGAAAGACUUGAUCAAGAAGCACUCUGAGUUCAUUAGCUACCCAAUCUCUCUGUGGGUUGAGAAAACCACCGAGAAGGAGAUCUCUGAUGAUGAGGAUGAGGAAGAGAAGAAGGAUGAAGAGGGGAAAGUUGAAGAUGUUGAUGAGGAGAAGGAGAAAGAAGAAAAGAAGAAAAAGAAGAUCAAGGAAGUGUCUCAUGAGUGGUCUUUGGUGAACAAGCAGAAGCCCAUCUGGAUGCGGAAGCCUGAGGAAAUCACCAAGGAAGAGUAUGCUGCUUUCUAUAAG